UCCGGCUUAUCACCGGCAGUCCCACUAGAGUGCCCAACUAAAUGAUGGCAACUAAUGGCAGGGUUGCGCUCGUUGAUGGACUUAACCAAACAUCUCACGACACGAGCUGAAGACGGCCAUGCAACACCUGUCACUGGAUUCCCGAAGGCACUCUCGUCUUUCGACAAAAUUCCCAGGAUGUCAAGCCUUGGUAAGGUUCUUCGCUUACCAUCGAAUUAAACAACACGCUCCACCGCUUGUGCGGGUCCCCGUCAAUUCCUUUGAGUUUUAGUCUUGCGACCGUACUCCCCAGGCGGAAUACUUAACGCGUUAGCUUCGCUACAUACCGGGUCGAUACGGCAUACAGCUAGUAUUCAUCGUUUACGGCGUGGACUAC
rnacentral:misc_RNA from 1 species